rnacentral:tRNA from 1 species
GGCCCUGUAGCUUAGAGGAUUAGAGCACGUAUCUAUGAACUACUAUGUUGAGGCUUUAAAUCCCUCCUCGACCA